UGCUUUCUUAGGUUUUCAGAUUUGCAC
rnacentral:piRNA from 1 species